rnacentral:lncRNA from 1 species
CCUGUGUGUACCUGCCUUUGAGACAUCCAUGGAGAAGGAGACAAGAGCCAGCCGUAUAGAGAAGCACUCCCAGAGAAAGCACAGCCUGAUGCACUCACUGGGAACUUUGUGAGUCUGGAGUCUCCAUCACCAAUUCCCUGCAGUGUUCCUCCUGGGACUACUAUGAUGCUUCAACCUGCACCUGUUUGGAGUUCAUUGGGGUCUGGAGUCUGUCUUCUGUUUAGCUGCAGUUGUUUGGAUAAUACCCUCUUCAGAACAACAGCGAAGCAGAGCUACUUUUGUAAGAGUGGAUGGUAGAAGAGUCCUCACUCAAACAUUUGGG